rnacentral:misc_RNA from 1 species
UGUACUGGAAGCAUGUCAGAACUAGUUAUGGCAGUGAUGAUGAAGAUAGCAGUGAUGAAGACAUUAAUGAGGAUUUUGUCACCAUGAAUGACGAGAAUUUUAUGGAAGAAGGAAUGGCAAGGAGUCCUGAUGAGCAGCAUCUUGAUCUUGAUGAAUUUGACCAUGCAAUGAAUAAAAUGUCCAUCACACCUAAGAAUGGCUUAAAUUAUAGAUUUGGAGGUGAUAAAAUGCAGAUGCCCUCAAGAAUUAGACCCUCUACGAGUCCAGAGUCUUUGUGAUGCCUUGGCUUACAGAAAGUGAUUAUUUUGCUUUGUUUCUUUUAGUUAACGCCAUCACUUGUGGAUUUGAUGACACUGGUCAUUUGCUGAAUUUUGCAUUCAAGCUGUUGUAUAAUUAAAUUUUGAUUUCUUCAAAAAUAUUGCUAAUGUAAUUACGGUCAGAAAUUGAAUGCAUCUGAUACAAGAAUAUGAUAUUUA